rnacentral:rRNA from 1 species
GAACGGGUGAGUAAUGCAUCGGAACGUACCCAGUCGUGGGGGAUAACGUAGCGAAAGUUACGCUAAUACCGCAUACGUCCUGAGGGAGAAAGCGGGGGCUCGCAAGACCUCGCGCGAUUGGAGCGGCCGAUGUCGGAUUAGCUAGUUGGUAGGGUAAAGGCCUACCAAGGCGACGAUCCGUAGCGGGUCUGAGAGGAUGAUCCGCCACACUGGAACUGAGACACGGUCCAGACUCCUACGGGAGGCAGCAGUGGGGAAUUUUGGACAAUGGGCGAAAGCCUGAUCCAGCCAUGCCGCGUGAGUGAAGAAGGCCUUCGGGUUGUAAAGCUCUUUCAGCCGGAAAGAAAUCGCGCAGGAUAAUACUCUGCGUGGAUGACGGUACCGGAAGAAGAAGCACCGGCUAACUACGUGCCAGCAGCCGCGGUAAUACGUAGGGUGCGAGCGUUAAUCGGAAUUACUGGGCGUAAAGCGUGCGCAGGCGGUUAUGUAAGACAGAUGUGAAAUCCCCGGGCUCAACCUGGGAACUGCGUUUGUGACUGCAUAACUAGAGUACGGCAGAGGGAGGUGGAAUUCCGCGUGUAGCAGUGAAAUGCGUAGAGAUGCGGAGGAACACCGAUGGCGAAGGCAGCCUCCUGGGCCAGUACUGACGCUCAUGCACGAAAGCGUGGGGAGCAAACAGGAUUAGAUACCCUGGUAGUCCACGCCCUAAACGAUGUCAACUAGUUGUUCGGUGAGGAGACUCAUUGAGUAACGCAGCUAACGCGUGAAG